GAGGAUGUAGUUUAAGUGGCAAAACAGAUACCUUUAUGUAUCAGUUACAAGUUCAAAACUUGUUGUUCUCACCA
rnacentral:tRNA from 1 species